rnacentral:RNase_P_RNA from 1 species
GGAGUUCGGCGGAUGGUCGCUGGGCCCUUCGGCCUGGAGGAAAGUCCGGACUUCACAGGGCAACGAUGCUGGCUAACGGCCAGGCGGGGCGACCCGACGGAAAGUGCCACAGAGAGCAGACCGCCCGCGCUGCGCGCGGGUAAGGGUGAAAGGGUGCGGUAAGAGCGCACCGCGCGACCGGUGACGGUCGUGGCAAGGCAAACCCCAUCGGAAGCAAGAGCAAAUAGGGAGGCAUCGCGGCCCCGGACCGGGGCCGCACGGGGCGGCCCGUCCCGGUCUCCGGGUGAGCUCGCUCGAGGGCGCCGGCAACGGCGCUCCCAGAUGAAUGACCAUCGAAACAGAAUCCGGCUUACGGCCGGACUCCCGAG